AGUACGAAUAGACAAGAUUCUCUGUUUCUUCCACAGAGUUUCAUCCUUUCCUUGUAUGAAUAAGUCCGCAUGCUCUCCUAUACAAGAUGGGUCCGCAUCUCCCGUAACUCUGCGUUUCUUCCGCGAAGUUUCAUUCCCAUCGUCUCGUCACUUCUUAUAUUCGUCGUCUGAUGCGUUUGUACUAAAAUAAGAACCACUCAAUUUGGCAUUUGAUCAUUUCUUAUCUCUAUCCCCUUUUCUACGAUAAGAACCAUUCAAAACGUAGCCUGUUUACAGCUUGUUUUCCUUCAUUGCUUUUCUGUGAUCGGUUAAAACCUAAUUGCAUUGAUUUUGUCUCCUUUUCACUUCGAUUCUUUUUCAUGGCGUCCACCUCUACAGCCGGGAGUAAAACCCAGGUUGAGGAUUGGGCGUUUAUGAUGGAAUCGCACCAUCUGAAUCUACUUCUACCCCAAGUCUCUUUAAAAAACUGUCGUACGAUGUAUUCAUCAAUCAUCGUGGUCCAGACGUCAAAUACACCUUGGCUAGCGUUCUGUAUGGUAUUCUCACUGGUAUGGCACUCUCAGUUUUUUUGGAUUCAAAGGAGUUGGAAUACAGCGAUUUCUUGCCCCGAACAAUAGAAGCAGCUAUGACCGGCGCUUUGAUUCACAUUGCUAUUUUCUCCAAGGGCAAUGCAGAAUCGCCCUGAUGCUUGGCAGAGCUGAAAUUUAUGCUUAAAUCUGGCACCCAAAUCAUUCCUAUCUUCUACCAUGUAGAGCCUACUGAUCUCAGAUGGGUAUAUCAAGGUAAAGGAAUGCAUGCUAAGGCGUUUGAGGAGCAUGAACGUAAGGCAGAUACAGCCCAGAAAAACUUCAGGAGUGGAAGGAGGCUCUCCAUAACGUCUCAUUUUACACUGGUGAAAUAAUAAGAAAUGAAGAUGACGAGAUGAGACUGCUGAAAAAUAUUGUGAAUUGUGUUUUGAAAUUAAAACACGAUGUGCCACUGACGGUUGCAAAACAUCCUGUCGGGCUGAAAGAAAUAGUGGAAGACUUUGAGAUGAACACACUCCAAUCUGCCCGAGGUGAUGCACGAAUUGUGGGAAUCUGGGGAAUGGGUGGCUCUGGCAAAACCACGCUUGCCAAAGAGUUAUACAACAAAAGAUUGCCAUCCAUGGACAGAUGCAGUUUUGUUUUUGAUGUUAGAGAUAGUGCAGCCAAAGGUCUAUUGCAUAAAAAGCAAAUUCAACUCCUCAAAGACCUUGUGGUCCAAAAUCAAACAUUUGACAAUACAGAGGAAGGUAAGGAAAUUCUUACAGGCAUUUGAGAUCUGUUAGGGUACUCUUUGUUUUUGAUGAUGUGGAUCAUAUUGAUCAAUUGGAUGCUCUUUGCCCGUAAAAGACCGUCUUGGAGAGGGUAGUCUCAUAAUUGUUACAACACGGGAGCGUGAUGUUCUUAAUUCUUGGGGUAUAUUUUUUGUAUAUAAAAUGAAAGCACUUCAUUCAUCUUUUGGUGAGCAGAUUUUUUGUUGGCUUGCUUUCUUACGACCUUGUCCUCCGAAUGGAUUUAAUGAGCUUGUUAAAAAGUUUGUAGAGGCUUGCCAUGGAUUGCCCUUGUCUCUUAAGGUAUUUGGGGGACAACUAUAUGGAGAGUCUUGUGAGGAACAUUGGAAGUCUUUUUUGGAAAAGAUUUCAGGAAUAUUGUCCGAUGAUAUAAAAAGGAGACUCAAAAUAAGUUAUGAUACCCUUGAUGCUCAAGAGAAAGAGAUGUUCCUAGAUAUUGCUUGUUUCUUUAUUGGGGAGAAAAAUAGUUUAGAAAAAUAGUUUGGCAAUUGAAGGGUGGAAGAGUUUAGGGUGGAGUGGUUUGCUUAGUUGGGAAAGACUCCAAAAUAAGUGUUUGGUUGAGUUGGACAAUAAAAAUCAUAUAACAAUGCAUGACCACUUAAGAGAUUUGGGAAGAGAAAUUGCAAAUCAACAUUCACCUUAUCGGCUUUGGCAACCCCAACAUAUUGUCAAUGCUCAUAAACAAAUAGAGCUACAAGUACAGGCCAGUUCAUCGUUGCUGAUGUAAUUAUACGAAGUAUUGUGCUAGAAUUUAUUAGUUCCUGUUGGCCGACAGUGUUGCAGGGGUUUUUGCAAUAGAGGCAUAGGCAUAGCAGAGAAGCUGCAAUAGUCAAAGAUUAUUCAAAUAAAAAGUAAGUUUUCCAAAUGCCCAGAUUCUAGGGUGUUAAACUAAAACACAUAUAUGUAACCAAUCUGGAUUAGCUAAACAAGGACAUGGUAUGAAUACAGAAUAAAAAUUCUUCUGCACAAAAAAAUUACAGAGCUAUGAAUUCAAAUUCGCAGCUUGUCAGACCCUGUACUCUCUCAUUCAUCUACACUUCUUUCUUAUCUAGUUUACACAACCCCACAAAGGCAAAUCUGAUAAAAUUACUGCUACAUUUCUUCACAAGUUUUUCUAAUUUUCGUUUGAAAUAUUUCUUGCAUUUUUUUCAUACCCGUCAAAGAAAACAUGAAGUGAAAAAUCAUUCUAUUUACUUAGCCUUAAAAAGAGUACCAACUCUUUUGUAUAUUUGUUCAACUCCUUAUUCUUUUGACACAUAUACUAACACCUGUCAAAGCCUUCAACUUGCAUGAUGUGGUUUGUAUCGUGCCAGGUACCUUGGUUGUGUUGGGUAUAUGAAGCCCAACAGUCACAUGGCUAUUUGUCUUCCCCAGAAGACUUCAUUUUAUAUUUGAUAUGUUUAUAUAAAUGGCUGUGUGCAGCCCAUACAUGAUGUACUAUGUAAUUGGAUAUUGGUUAAUAAAAGUUCUCCCUACGUUUCUAGUGGACGUA